rnacentral:lncRNA from 1 species
CAUGAGAAGAAUGCUCAUACACAUAAGAUAAUUAAAUAAAUUGGAAAAUAACUAAAAAAAAAAAAAAGGAACAAAGAGAAAUUUGUUCCUCCUGCAGAAGCCAAGCAUAGACUGCUCAGCUUCAUCUGGGUCCAAAUGACACCACAAGAUUUGUCUUGUGUCCAUCUCACUGCUCUACAAUCUUAUGUGAUGGUGAAAUUCUCAGAUGCUUCUUGCGCCCUGAUGAUAUCACAGAACACAGUGUCACAAACUGCACCCUUCGAAUUACAAGCCUAUUUUGACCAAGACAUCUCUCCCUUCGUCCCGCCACUUUCUUGUUCAGUGUCCACGACUUGCUGUUCUCAGCUCACCGUUGCGCAUGCCACUCGAGACUGGGGGAAGGUCCUUAGUGAUUAAAACCUUGUACAAUCAUCAGGGACAUAAGUAGAAGUAACUCGGUCCUCAGC